AUAGUGAGCACAAGAAAUUUAUUUGAUUCACCAAAAAUGUUUACAUCCACGACUAAAAAUUACCCUUCACUUUGAAAGAAGGAACAUAAUAAAAUUAUAGUUGAAUCAUUAUCAUUAUUUGAGCCAAACACAACUCCUUGUACACUCACUAUAGUAUCCAAAGAACACUCUCACAAGCACUAAAUCAUAUUCAUUUUUUCCUCCUCGUAUCUCUAAAGGCUCACAAUCAUCUUUAGAUAGGCUACAUGUCUUGUACACCAAGCAUAGCAAACUUGCCCACAAAAAUACUAAGCUUUUAGCACACUUAUAUAAUAAUUUUUAGGGGUUUUUAUCUUUAGGUCCAUUUGUUUACUCCCAUUUAUCUUUAAACCCAAGUUCUAUUAUUUGUAUUUUUAAGCCCAAUUCACUUUUGGUAUUUGUCUUUAAACCCAAUUACUUGUAUUUAUACAGAAUGAAUGUAAAAACCCAAAAUACCCCUUUGAUUGGCCCAAUAAAACCCAGUAUCUCUCUCAUCUUCCUCAUUUCAUCUCACAGCCCUAAAUUGAAAAAACGAGAUCCCCUUUUCGUCGUCGCCCGUCUCCAGCCGCCGACGCCCCGUUCUAGCCGUCGCCCGUCUCCGGCGUCGAUGUCCCUGUCCCUCUCUCUCCAGCUCGUGCCUUCCCAUUUCCGUCAUCUCCAUAAAUGUGUCCCUCUUCAAAAUUCUGAUGAUCAUGUCCUCUUGCUCUUCUGGUAAUUUCCCCCCCUCCUGGGUCUUCUUCUUCAAGCCAUCGAUUCUGCUUUGAAAACCUUUCCUCCCCACCAAUUAUUUUAUUGCUCUGAACAAUUAUUUAAUUAAUCGGUCGUGCGCGGUGAACAGAUUUGAGAGGGAGCUAUUGAGGGGGGCCGGGCUUGGUGAAUGGCUCUGACGCGCGCCAUUUGAUGGUCUGGAGCUCUUGGUCGCUUGGAGCAUUGUUCAGGAGGAGCUGAUCAAGGAGCUCGAUUUGAUUCUCGAGAGCUGCAGUAGGUUCUUAGUGGAUCAUGGGUUAAAAAGGGUCACCAAUUGUUUCUUGCUUCACUUGAUGGAGUUUGGCCCUUUGAAGCUUACUGAUCCUUCGAAGAUUGGUGGGCUGUUGAACGGGUUGAAAACUAUGAGGAUGAAUAACCCCUUUUGGCAGUCUUUAUGGUGAAUCUAUGUUUUUUAACAUUCCUCAGCUUUUGGCUAUGUUUGUGACUGUGAAUGUAUCUGAAAUACGUGUGAGGAUGUUUUGUACCAUAUAUGUGAGGAUGUUUUGUAACAUAUCUCAAUUUGUGUUGCAAGUGUAACAUAUAUGCGAGGAUGUUUUGUAAUAUGCGAGGAUGUUUUGUAACAUAUAGGCGAGGAUGUUAAAAUUGGUCAUUGUUAAAAUUUGUUUGAUCUCUCAACUUGUGACUGAAUUUAGUGGUGAGUUUGUAGCAUAUUUCAGCUUGUGAUGGUGUUUGUGAUUGAAAAUGUACCGUGUUAAGUGUAGAGGAUGUUUUGUAACAUAUCUAUGUUUGUG